rnacentral:tRNA from 1 species
GAAGGUAUAGCUCAGUGGCAGAGCACAUGCUUAGCAUGCAUGAGGUCCUAGGUUCAAUCCCCAGUACCUCCA